ACGGCCUCCCCCUGCCCUCCUCCCCGACGCCGUCUCUUGCUCGCGCCGCCUCCUCCUCCGCUGGCGCCGGCGCCACCCCCGCCCCCGCCCCCGGCGGGUCAGCCGGCUGCCGUUUGGGCUGGCCCCCGACUCGCCGCCCCCGCCGCGCCGGCCACCCAACGCGACGUUCUCCCUCCACUAUCCCACGUCGCCGCCGCCGCCGCCUCGUCGCUUGCUCUGGUAGGUCGCGUCCUCCUCGCAGUGCCGCCGCUGCCCCCGCUCUCCUCGUUGUUGUCGGUACCACCGCUCUCUCUCUCUCUCUUCUCGCACUCAAAUGCAUGCGUUGCAUCGACGCAACUUCGCUUUGCCACCAUGGGGCCAGAUCUGGUAGAGGGGAGGCCGUGCUGGGCAGAUCUGGUGGCCACAACCUCCCUGUUGGCGGAUCCGGACGCCUGGAGGCGAGGGCGACAACUAACGCAUGAGGCUCGUGGGCGGUGCUGGUGGCAGGAGGCACCUCGGUGGUGGCUGCCUCGACCUGACGAGCAAGGCAUUGGCAUGGAUUUUCUUGCUAUCAAUGCUACUUCAGCUUGAAGCUCAACUAGCGACCAAUGAAGCAAACUACUAAUCUAGAGAAGCUAGAAGGACGACAAAUGAGGUGUUGACAGUGGGGGGAGAUGUUGAGGUGCUUGGCCAUCAAUAGGUUUGUUGCCUCUGGUCUCAGGCUUCCGAAUGGAUUGGAAAAUAUGAGGUCACUAGAUUACCCUAAUAUGUUUGAUGCCUGAGGAGCUCUGUUAGGAUUGCACGGAGCCUGGUCCUGUUAGGAUAAGAGCAGAUCAGCCUGAGAGCACAAAGGGUCAAGGUGCCAGCAUUCUUUAGAGAAAAAGAUGAGGACUAAACAAUCCUAAUUAUGGAGUUGAUAGUACCAUCAUCUAUAGUAAAGUGCACGAGAUCGAUAUGGUCGUUCAGCUGCUUUGGAGCCUAGGAACAAGCUAAUUGUUUAUGCCAAGGCUGAGAGCUUGAUGCCUGCUUGCAUUUAGAAAUGUGAAGCCUACAACGUAAAGCAGAGAAGAUAUUUUAUCAGCAGGUGCUCUGCAAAUUGCAAGGUGAUUCAGACAGGUGGAACCUGCGCUGCGAAAGCACCCUGUGCAGGGCCGGGGACAGCGAACACCUCGUCCCGAAGAGCCGGAGAACAACCAGUGUGGCCUGUUCCAGUACGAAUCGAGCGUGCGGCUCCAGUCCCCUGCACGCUGAAUUUUUCAUAGAAAAUAAGAGAGAGGGAAAAAGAAGAAGAGAGGAAAGAAAAAUAUGAUCAGUCCCCAAUCUUUGGGGGUGUUUAGUAUCGAAGAAAUGAAAAUCUUUGGAUUUCACAUCAAACUGACAUGAUGUCGGAAAGAGUUUUUGAACACGAAUAUAAAAAUAAAUUUCAUGGCUCGUCUAGAAACCGCGAGACGAAUCUUUUGAGUCUAACUGAUCCA